ACCGCGUCCACCCCGCGAGCACAGGCCCCUCGCCCUCGCCGCUCCGCCGCUGCCACCGCCGGUUUACACCGCCCCCCGAUCGCCAUGGAUGAUGAUAUCACUGCGCUCGUGGUUGACAACGGCUCCGGCAUGUGCAAAGCCGGCUUCGCAGGCAAUGAUGCCCCCCGGGCCGUCUUCCCUUCCAUCGUGGGGCGCCCCCGGCACCAGGGCGUGUUGGUGGGCAUGGGCCAGAAGGACUCCUACGUGGGUGACGAGGCCCAGAGCAAGCGGGGCAUCCUGACCCUCAAGUACCCCAUCGAGCACGGUAUCGUCACCAACUGGGACGACAUGGAGAAGAUCUGGCACCACAUCUUCUACAACGAGCUGCGCGUGGCCCCCGAGGCGCACCCCGUGCUGCUGACCGAGGCCCCCCUGAACCCCAAGGCCAACCGUGAGAAGAUGACCCAGAUCAUGUUCGAGACCUUCAACACCCCGGCCAUGUACGUGGCCAUCCAGGCCGUGCUGUCCCUGUACACCUCUGGCCGUACCACUGGCAUCGUGAUGGACUCCGGGGACGGGGUCACCCACACUGUGCCCAUCUACGAGGGGUACGCGCUGCCCCACGCCAUCCUGCGUCUGGACCUGGCUGGCCGGGACCUGACGGACUACCUCAUGAAGAUCCUCACGGAGCGUGGCUUCAGCUUCACCACCACCGCCGAGCGGGAAAUCGUGCGUGACAUCAAGGAGAAGCUGUGUUAUGUGACCCUGGACUUCGAGCAGGAGAUGGCCACUGCGGCCUCCUCCUCCUCCCUGGAGAAGAGCUACGAGCUGCCCGACGGGCAGGUCAUCACCAUCAGCAACGAGGGUUCCGUUGCCCGGAGGCGCUCUUCCAGCCUUCCUUCCUGGGCAUGGAAUCCUGUGGCAUCCACGAAACUACCUUCAACUCCAUCAUGAAGUGGGACGUCGACAUCCGCAAGGACCUCUACGCCAACACGGUGCUGUCCGGGGGGACCACCAUGUACCCCGGCAUCGCCGACAGGAUGCAGAAGGAGAUCACCGCCCUGGCGCCCAGCACAGUGAAGAUCAAGAUCAUCGCCCCCCCUGAGCGCAAAUACUCUGUGUGGACCGGAGGCUCCAUCCUGGCCUCGCUGUCCACCUUCCAGCAGAUGUGGAUCAGCAAACAGGAGUACGACGAGUCCGGCCCCUCCAUCGUCCACUGCAAAUGCUUCUAGGCGGACUGUUACUUUAGUUGCGUUACACCCUUUCUUGACAAAACCUAACUUGCGCAGAAAACGAGUUGAGAUUGGCAUGGCUUUAUUUGGUUUUUUAAUUGUUUUUUGGGGUUUUUUUUGUUUGUUUGUUUGUUUUUUGGUUUUUUGGGGGGUUUUUUUGGCGCUUGACUCAGGAUUUAAAAACUGGAACGGUGAAGGUGACAGCAGUUGGUUGGAGCGAGCAUCCCCAAAGUUCUACAAUGUGGCCGAGGACUUUGAUUGUACAUUGUUUUUUUUUUAAUAGUCAUUCCAAAUAUUGUGAGAUGCAUUGUUACAGGAAGUCCCUUGCCUUCCCAAAAGCCACUCCAUUUCUCCCUGAGGAGAAGGGCCAGUCCUCGCCCAAGUCCACACAGGGGAGGGUGAUAGAAUUGCUUUUGUGUAAAUUAUGUAGUCCAAAUUUUUUUUAAUCUUCGCCUUAAUACUUGUUCUUUUUGUUUUAUUUUGAAUGGUCUGCCAUCAUGGCCCCCCUUUUUUGUCCCCUCCAAUUUAAGAUUUAUGAAGGCUUUUGGUCUCCCUGGGAGAGGGGUUGAAGCAUGGAGGCAGCCGGGGCUUUCCUGUACACUGACUUGAGACCAGUUCAAUAAAGUGCACACCUUAAAAAAAAAA